AAAUUAGUAUAAGAAAGAUUGAGUUGUAAUAAAUUUAUUUGCCAUAAAAAUAUACUUAGUCUAUAAUUAGAAUGUACUAAAUAAAUUAACUAUUAAUAACAAUAUUUAUUUUUAUAUUUAUAAAAAAUUUAAUUUAUAUUUAGGUAUAAUUGGAGAACAUUAGUAAUAUAUUUGUUAGUAAUUUUAGUUAUAGAUUUUUAAUCUUGAAGCCCGCGUACGACGAGCAAAAUUUGUGCCAGCAGCUGCGGUUAGACUUAUGGUCGGAAUUUAUACUAAUAGGAUUUAGAGUAAAAUAAAAUUUUUAAAGUUUGGUGAAAUAUAUUUAAUAAUAAUCUUAAAAUCUAAAAAUUUCAUGCAAAACUAGGAUUAGAGACCCUAUUAUUUCGUUUAAAGGCCUAGUGAUAAUUUUUGAUAAUUUGGCGGCAUGUCUAUUUUAGAGGAACUUGCCGGUAAUCGAUAAACCCCGUUUUAUUAAACUUUUGUUUUUCUUGUAUAUCGUUAUAUAGAUUUUUUUUAAAAAUAAAUUAUUAGGGUUUAGUUUAAAAAGCUAGAUCAGGGUGCGGAUUAGAAAAGAGUGUGUGUUAGUUACAAUUACUAAUUAAAAUAACAGGAAAGAUGAAAAUUUUAGUUAAAGGUGAAUUUAAUUGUAAUUACAUAGAAUUGAAUAAUUAGAUAUGUGUACAAAUCGCCCGUCACUCCUUUUAGGAUAAGUCGAAACAAAGUAAGAGCACCUGAAGGUGCUCUUAAAAAUGA
rnacentral:ncRNA from 1 species